rnacentral:tRNA from 1 species
CGGGCAUUCAUUCUAUAGGUUAAGAUCCUAGACUCUAAAUCUAGUGAAAAAGGUUCAAGUCCUUUAUGCUCCA